AUUGAACGCUGGCGGCAUGCUUUACACAUGCAAGUCGAACGGUAACAGGCCGCAAGGUUCUGACGAGUGGCGAACGGGUGCGUAAUGCAUCGGAACGUGCCCAGUCGUGGGGGAUAACUACUCGAAAGAGUAGCUAAUACCUCAUACGACCUAUGGAUGAAAGCGGGGGGCCGUAAGGCCUCGCGCGAUUGUAGCGGCCGAUGUCAGAUUAGGUAGUUGGUGGGGUAAAGGCUCACCAAGCCAACGAUCUGUAGCUGGUCUGAGAGGACGACCAGCCACACUGGGACUGAGACACGGCCCAGACUCCUACGGGAGGCAGCAGUGGGGAAUUUUGGACAAUGGGCGCAAGCCUGAUCCAGCAAUGCCGCGUGCAGGAAGAAGGCCUUCGGGUUGUAAACUGCUUUUGUACGGAACGAAACGGCUCUGGUUAAUACCCGGGGCUAAUGACGGUACCGUAAGAAUAAGCACCGGCUAACUACGUG
rnacentral:rRNA from 1 species